GCGCGCUUAGCUCAGUGGUAGAGCACUACUAUGACACAGUAGGGGUCGGAGGUUCAAUCCCUCCAGCGCGCACCA
rnacentral:tRNA from 1 species